ACUAGACAAUAAUUAAGAUAGUUGAAAAUGGAAUUUUAUAUUAAUAAUGUCUUCUUAUAUUCAAUAUUUUCCUUGGUUAAGAGUGCAACAUGAGCUGUAGAUAUGAACUUAACUGUCAGAUGAACAUUGGAAGUGAACAAGAUUUCUGCGCAAAGAUUUUCUCUGGUCAAGAGUGCAACAUGAGCCGUGGAUAUGAACUUUACUGUCAGAUGUACAUUGAUUGGAAAGUGAACAAGAUAUCUGCACUGAGAAUGAACGAAGUUGAAGAAAGUUGAAAGGCACCCCUGAAGAACCUGAGAUAACAUAUGUGAAAUGUGAUCAAUUA